rnacentral:rRNA from 1 species
UGCGUAGGGGGCAAGCGUUGUUCGGAAUUACCGGGCGUAAAGGGCGCGUAGGCGGCAUGGCAAGUCAGGAGUGAAAGGCCUGGGCUCAACCGAGGAACUGCUUUUGAUACUGCCAAGCUAGAGUGCGGAAGGGGCAACUGGAAUUCCCAGUGUAGCGGUGAAAUGCGUAGAUAUUGGGAAGAACACCUGAGGCGAAGGCGGGUUGCUGGGCCGACACUGACGCUGAGGCGCGAAAGCCAGGGGAGCAAACGGG